AAUCUAAUCAAAUCCACACAUGCGAACCAACCAUGUUGGCCAUCCGGGUCUAGUAUCCGGAUUGAGAUGGGUGAGGGUCGAAAGGCCUGCGCCUGUCUCAGUCGUUGCUCCAUGCCAAUGGAAGUGGCGUCGGUCUUUAUAUCUAACCAUCCAACACCAAACCUAAAUACUAAAUCAAACCGAGGGAUCAGCUUAGAGCUGGCUCUCAUAAACCAAGACAACUCUCAACAACGGAUAUCUUGGCUCUCAGAUCGAUGAAGAACGCAGCGAAAUGCGAUACGUAGUGUGAAUUGCAGAAAUACGUGAAUCAUCGAAUCUUUGAACGCAAAUUGCGCUCGAGGCUUCGGCCAAGAGCAUGUCUGCCUCAGCGUCGGGUUAAUACUCAUGUACGCAUUCCCCACCAAGAGUGUGUGUGUGGAACUGGCUGUCUCGGUACUUGCCCUCUUUCGGGAGGCGUAAUCACCGGGUCAGCUGAAGUGCAGAUGUCAAAGCAUGGACCGUUUAACGGGCCUCUACUGGGUAGGCAACUUGUUUGCUGCAUUGCUUUAGUAGAUGGCUUGGGUACCGUCUUUGGCACAAAGCAGGAGUACUUGUUCAUUCAGGUACCACCAAUACCAUUUUCGACCUGAGCUCAGGCAAGA
rnacentral:sRNA from 1 species